rnacentral:tRNA from 1 species
GGACGGCUGGUCGCCCGCCACGGCCGUUCGCUCGUGGUGGACGCGAUCAGCAGUUUCGGGGCGGAGCGGCUCGACGUCGUCGCCGACCAC